rnacentral:rRNA from 1 species
ACUAGUUUUUUAAUUAAAGACCUGUAUGAACGACCCCACGAGAGUCGAACUGUCUCCUCUUUCCCAUCAGCGAAACUAAUCUCCUCGUUCAAAAGCGAGAAUUAUACUAUAAGACGAUAAGACCCUGUGGAGCUUUAAACACCUAGCAUUUGUCUAUUACUCAUCUCUUUAGACAAAAUACUACUAGUUUUUGGUUGGGGCGGCCUCGGAGGAAAAUAAAUCCUCCAAGAUGAAUUGGAUUUUUCUUCAACUUUAAGCUACACCUUUAAGUACCAGUAUACUGACAUCAAUUGACCCUUAUUGAUCAACGAACCAAGUUACCCCAGGGAUAACAGCGCUAUCUUCUUCGAGAGUACAUAUCGACAAGCGGGUUUACG